rnacentral:piRNA from 1 species
UAUAAUAAGCCUCUCUCCAAAAGCC